GCAAGGAAGAUAGCUCAGUUGGUUAGAGCAUGAUGCUGAGAACACCAAGGUCACAGGUUUGGGUGCAUAUUCCUGCAUUGCA